rnacentral:rRNA from 1 species
UACGUAGGCAGCGAGCGUUGUUCGGAAUUACUGGGCGUAAAGGGCGCGUAGGCGGCCUGCUAAGUCGAACGUGAAAUCCCCGGGCUCAACCCGGGAACUGCGUCCGAUACUGGCAGGCUUGAAUUCGGGAGAGGGAUGCGGAAUUCCAGGUGUAGCGGUGAAAUGCGUAGAUAUCUGGAGGAACACCGGUGGCGAAGGCGGCAUCCUGGACCGAAAUUGACGCUGAGGCGCGAAAGCCAGGGGAGCAAACGGG